rnacentral:lncRNA from 1 species
CGCUAUAUCAACAGCAGUGCACCGGAAAGACCUGAAGCAUCUACCGAAGAAGAAACGGAUCGAAUCAUGUUUUUUCAAGUGUUUUUCCCGCUAGUUGGUGCUAUCGGCGUCCUGAUUUUCCCUGGCGGAUGGUACAAACAGGUAAAUACUGCUUCUCUUUUUUGCAUCCAAGCAUGUCGUGUUUAUUUUAAAAAAAAGUUUACUCCGUUUUUAGCGUUGCAGUUAUGACAGGCAAAAUCAGCCAGUACUUUAAAAAGCGACCUCGCGAGGAGGAAAGUCAAGAGUCCAGGUGAAACACAGUAGAGAUAAAAACGUAACAGGCAGUUAAAAUGCUAUAAUUCAUGGUGGAGACAACGUGGAAAUUUGUGUCAGGUCUGAAAGUACUUCGCAAGGGACUGGUGAUCGCGAGGGUCAGAAUGCAGGACAGGACGAGUCGGCGAGGCGAGGGUAAUUAAUUAAUUAGUUUCCAAUUAGGAGCAUAACAACGCAAAGCCGACGUGUACGUGGUUUUUAUUCCUCUUUCCAGAUCUUCUCAAAAACACAGAGCCAGUGGCUUUGACAAGCAGUGGCUCAAUCAAUUUACCUGGCUCAGGCAUACUGAGGAAGGCAUGCACUGCUAUUUAUGCCAAAAGCACUGUGCCCCAACACAGCAGGCAAUUGCUGCGUCCUUAGUGAGACAGCCAUCAACCAACUACAGGCUGGACACAUUAAAAAGACAUGAGGUGACAGCCAUUCACAAAGCAGCAGAAGAGAAGGAGAAAUAUAUUAAAGAUGGUAGUACCUAAAAAAACUCAACUAAUAAAGUUACAAAAAAUAAAUAACAUAGUUUAGAUAGUUUAAGAAAUAAUUGGUUGUCGUUUUUUUUUAGGGAGGACACUGCAGCGUAUACAUAUAUAUGAUGGAAAACACUAUCACUCUUCAUGUCUGUAUCAGAAUAAAAACAAAAAUACUUAAUGCAUGAUGAAUUGUUUUGUUUAAGGUGAAGACACCUCUGCGGAACAGACUGAAGGAGAGGCACUUGGAUGUCUGUUGUAAGGUGGCCGUUGAUGGACCAGACCAGGAGGCCUUGGACUACAAGGAGUGCAUGAGGAGGUUCUACAGAAUGAAAAAGAGGAGGCUGAAAUGUUCUGUCUGGUUGCGAGAUGUGUGGAUGAAGUGUACUUUCAAUUUAAAGUUGCCAGCUGAUUUGUGUAUGUAUAUAGUUUUAAUAAAUGAAUGCUUUAACAUGAUAAUGGUCAC